CUUCAUUUAGAGGAAGUAAAAGUCGUAACAAGGUUUCCGUAGGUGAACCUGCGGAAGGAUCAUCAGUGAUUGCUAGGUUGUUAGCUCGCAAGGGUUAGCAACUGACAAAACUCACAACGGCCGAUAAAUGAUUAUUAGGAGACUGUGGCUAAACGAGGAUCGAGCCCUAGUAAUAGGGCGCGGCUCCUAGUCAGUCCAGUCCCUACUAUAAACAACACCCUUUAUAAACAACGUCAAAAACAAGAAAAUCCAAAAAAAAUACAACUUUCAACAAUGGAUCUCUUGGCUCUU
rnacentral:misc_RNA from 1 species